rnacentral:rRNA from 1 species
CACGUAGGGCGCAAGCGUUGUCCGGAAUUAUUGGGCGUAAAGAGCUCGUAGGCGGUCUGUUGCGUCCGCUGUGAAAACUCGGGGCUUAACCCCGAGCCUGCAGUGGAUACGGGCAGACUGGAGGUAGGUAGGGGAGAAUGGAAUUCCCGGUGUAGCGGUGAAAUGCGCAGAUAUCGGGAGGAACACCAAUUGCGAAGGCAGCUCGCUGGGACGUUACUGACGCUGAGACGCGAAAGCGUGGGGAGCAAACGGG